rnacentral:rRNA from 1 species
GAACGAACGCUGGCGGCAGGCUUAACACAUGCAAGUCGAGCGCCCUUUUCGGAGGGAGCGGCAGACGGGUGAGUAACACGUGGGAAUCUACCCAUCUCUAGGGAAUAACUCAGGGAAACUUGUGCUAAUACCCUAUACGCCCUUUUGGGGAAAGAUUUAUCGGAGAUGGAUGAGCCCGCGUUGGAUUAGCUAGUUGGUGAGGUAAUGGCUCACCAAGGCGACGAUCCAUAGCUGGUCUGAGAGGAUGAUCAGCCACACUGGGACUGAGACACGGCCCAGACUCCUACGGGAGGCAGCAGUGGGGAAUAUUGGACAAUGGGCGCAAGCCUGAUCCAGCCAUGCCGCGUGAGUGAUGAAGGCCUUAGGGUUGUAAAGCUCUUUCACCGGUGAAGAUAAUGACGGUAGCCGGAGAAGAAGCCCCGGCUAACUUC